AUUGAACGCUGGCGGCAUGCCUUACACAUGCAAGUCGAACGGCAGCGGGGGAGAAGCUUGCUUUUCCUGCCGGCGAGUGGCGAACGGGUGAGUAAUACAUCGGAACGUGCCCUGUAGUGGGGGAUAACUAGUCGAAAGAUUAGCUAAUACCGCAUACAACCUGAGGGUGAAAGUGGGGGACCGCAAGGCCUCAUGCUAUAGGAGCGGCCGAUGUCUGAUUAGCUAGUUGGUGGGGUAAAGGCCUACCAAGGCGACGAUCAGUAGCUGGGCUGAGAGGACGAUCAGCCACACUGGGACUGAGACACGGCCCAGACUCCUACGGGAGGCAGCAGUGGGGAAUUUUGGACAAUGGGCGAAAGCCUGAUCCAGCAAUGCCGCGUGCAGGAUGAAGGCCUUCGGGUUGUAAACUGCUUUUGUACGGAACGAAAAAGCUCCUUCUAAUACAGGGGGCCCAUGACGGUACCGUAAGAAUAAGCACCGGCUAACUACGUGCCAGCAGCCGCCGUAA
rnacentral:rRNA from 1 species